CUUAGUUGUCCGAAAGAACCUUCGAUUGGUUUGCAACAGAAGUCAUUAAAAAGCUACAAAACAACCUACAUCCUCAAAUGUUCAUUAUUGAAUAAACGAAAGUAUAAGAAACAAAAAUUUAAUUUAGAUUACCUGACCAACAUGGGGAUCUGUUAAAGCAGGAAAUUGAACUUCAAAACUUAAAGAAACAGAACGUACGGUUUGAGAAUCUUUGUCCUUUUCUGACUUUUCUCAUUGUUGAACUGCAUAUAAUGUUAAAUGAAUACAAGUUUCAUAUUAUAUUCAUGGUAUAUGUGGUCAACAUUCAUGCUGAGUUGCUUCCUUUGCCCAAAUCUGACCAUGUUGGCACUCCAGCUUGGUAAAAAAUUUAACCACAUAUAGGAUAUUUUCAUCGCACCAAACAUUUCUUUAGAUCUGUUUAAAACAAAAAAUAAAACUUUAAUUUACGGCAUGUUUGUUUCUUCUUAAAAUAAACAAAUUUUGUUGUUGUUUCCACUUUAAAUACUUGAAUGCAAUAAAAAGAGUUAUUAGUUGUAUUCGACUAAAACAUGAUUUACGUUAGGUAGACAAGGAAGUCUUACAAAGUGCUAUGCUAUCUUAUUUGACGUUAUGCUCCAGGGGUAGGUAGUCUUAAAAAGUGCUAUACCACUUUAUUUUACGUUAUGCUCCAGGGGUAGGUAGUCUUAAAAAGUGCUAUACCACUUUAUAUUACGUUAUGCUCCAGGGGUAGGCAGUCGUAAAAAGUGCUAUACCACUUUAUAUUACGUUAUGCUCCAGGGUUAGGUAGUCUUAAAAGGGCUAUACCACUUUAUAUUACGUUAUGCUCCAGGGGUAGGUAGUCUUAAAAAGUGCUAUACUACCUUAUUUUACGUUAUGCUCCAGGGGUAUGAGCAAGUUGGGACUUCCCCUAAUAUUAACAGCGAAAAUAUUAUAAGAUAUCUAUUGACUCACAGUACGGACUACGGAUGCCUCAGGGGUACGAAAUAAAGAGCCUACC